rnacentral:rRNA from 1 species
CCCUUAGACACUCUAGGCAGCACGCGCGCUACAAUGGUCUUCGCAAACGGAUGCAUUCUCGAAGGAGAAUGCCAAUCUUGGAAUCUAUGCCUUGGUCGGGACAGUUGCUUGCAAUUUUUCGACUCGAACCAGGAAUUCCUUGUAAUCGUGAUUCAUCACAUCACGAUGAAUACGUCCCUGCCCUUUGUACACACCGCCCGUCGCUCCUACCGAUCGAAGAGUUAGGUGAAUUGUUUUGAUCGAUAAGAUUUGACUAUGGUCAACUCUCGUUGUGAAAUUCUGUGAAUCUGACUGUUUAGAGGAAGGAAAAGUCGUAACA